rnacentral:rRNA from 1 species
UUCUUUUUAUAAAAGUAAAAAGUAUAGUCUGCCCACUGAAUUUAAAGGGCCGCGGUAUUUUGACCGUGCAAAGGUAGCAUAAUCAUUAGCCUUUUAAUUAGAGGAUUGUAUGAAUGGCUGAACGUAGUUUUGUUUUAUUUAUUUAAUUUAUUAAAAUUAAAUUUUAAGUGAAAAUGCUUAAAUUAUUAUUUAGACGAUAAGACCCCGUAGAGCUUUAUUUUUAAUUUUUUAGUGUGAUUAAAAUUUUACAUUAUUAAAGUUAAAAAUUUUAUUGGGGCAAUAAAAGAAUAAUCAAAACUUCUUUAUUUUAAUUUUUAUAAAAUAUGUUAACUCAUUUUAAGAAUAUUAUAAAAAGUUACCUUGGGGAUAACAGCGUUAUUAAAACUGAGAGUUCAUAUCGACGUUUUAGAUUGCGACCUCGAUGUUGAAUUAAAAAUUCUUUAUGGGGCAGCAUUCUUAAAAGAUAGUCUGUUCGACUAUGAAAAUUUU